AACGGGAGUCCCGUGAACACGAGGAGCCGACCACGUCAGAGAUGACGGAGGAGACCUACCCGCCCAAAGCCUACCGGCCCAAGCACGGCCGCCUCUCCGAGCUCAAAGCCGAGGCCCUGAAGAAGGACCGCAGGAAGAAGCUGACCCUGGCCAAGUUUGUGGGCAUGGCGGAGAACACGGCACAUCCCCGCGUCGUCAUCCCCGAGCUCCGGCAAGAGUUUGAGCUGGGCCCUUGCCGCAGGCACAUGGAGGCCUCCCUGCAGGAGCUGAAGAGCAGCCAGCGGAUGGUGCCCCGUGCCGUCCACCUCCCCAACUGCGACCGAAAGGGCUUCUACAAGAGGAAGCAGUGCAAGCCCUCCCGAGGCCGAAAGCGUGGGCUGUGUUGGUGCGUGGACAAAUACGGCAUGAAGCUGCCGGGGACUGACUACCUGAGCGGAGACCUGCAGUGUCACGCGUUUGACAGCAGCAACGUGGAGUGAAGUCGCAUCCCCUCCCUCCGCCCCAUCACCACCCACCCAGGCUCCCUCCCACCCUCCCCUCCACACCUCCCCGCACCCCGGGACUCCGAUUCCUUUCAUCUCAUGUAAGAAGAAAAAAAAAAAGAGAGGAAAAGAAAAAAGAGAAAGAAAGGCACAGAAAACAAAAAAAUAUAAAUAAGGGAUAAGGAAAAGGAGAGUGAAAAGAAAAAAGAGAAGUUAAGAAAGGACAAGGAAAAAGAAAAGCAGAAAAAAAAAGAAGAAAAAGAGGAAAAGGGAAAAGAAAAGAAAAGAAAAGAAAAGAAAAGAAAAGAAAAGAAAAGAAAAGAAAAGAAAAGAAAAGAAAAGAAAAGAAAAGAAAAGAAAAGAAAAGAAAAGAAAAGAAAAGAAAAGAAAGAGAAAAAUUGAAAAGAAAGAAAAGGAAAUGAAAAUGAAAACGGAAAAGAAAGAAAAGGAAAAUGGAAAAGAAAAGAAAGAAGACAAGAAAGAAGGAAAGAGAAAAACAAACCCUGAAGAAACUGAGGACUCGGAAUCUACAGCAGCGUUUUGACAGCAAGGACUCAGCAAGGAAAGGACAGAGCCAGAGACAAGCCAGCUUCGGCCGCUCCGCCAUCCCGCACCUCUCCCUGCACCACCCGCACCCCCCUGCUGCCGAGCAGAGCCCACGCCAAUGGUCUGGAGAGAAAACCUUGCGGCCACCAGCGUCUCCACUCCUUGCUCCGUUCUUCCGGAGUUUCCUCCCUGCAUCGCCGGGAUGCACUCGAGUCAAUCUGAUCUCCGUCCCAAACGACCGCCCCGAUCCAGGCAGAUCUGAACCAUGCUGGGAGGAAGAGGAGGAGGAGGAAGAAGAGGAGGAGCGGGACUGCUGCGCGCACCUGGAGAUGUACCGGGGAGGGACACACAAGCUCCUGCAACGGCACGAAUAUCCCCCGCAAUAUUCGUGGACUUCAAAAAGAAACACUCCAGAAGGGAGACGUCCCCUUCUCAGUGCAGUUCCUCUUGACCGGGAGGUCAGAAAUCCGAGUUUUGGACGAGUGAGACUCCAAACGUCACCCAGCCAUGUGUGUGGAAGCGUUUGUCGUGUGCGUGCACACAGACGUGACUUCUCCUUGCAAAAAAACGUGCCUGGAAACCUGCAAUUUGAAGGCUUCACUGUAAGCAAGGGGAGAGCUGCUGGACUGAACAGGGAGCAGAGCUACGGAGGUGCCCCGAGGCCCCACCAACACCGAGGGCUGCGUCCAAGCCGGCUCUGCAGAUGCUCCACCGCUCCCCAGCGUGAAGCAGGCAUACGUGGGGACGGGGGACCGGGGACAAAACCCUUCACCACCCUUUGCUGCCACAGCGAAGACCAACUAUGGAGAUUUUUUUUUAUUAUUAUUAUUUUUAUUAUUAUUUUUGUUUUCACAGCCAAAAAAAAAAAAAAAGUUUGCUCCAGGGGGGAAAAAAAAGACUUUUAUUUCGUCUUGGGUUUUUGUUAAGGCUGGUUUGUAGCCUUUCCCAGGGUUAGGAAAACACCAGUCUCCAUCCUUUCACACUGAGGACACUGCUCAUGUCUGCCCUGGCUGACUCCCUCCGCCAUCUCCCCAUCCUGCCGUGAGAUCCUACAACAGGUCCUCACACUUCACCCAGGAACCUUGUCCUCGUUCAGUGACAGAGGCCACCACCAAACGGAGACCCACUGCCUCAGGCAUGCUUGGACAGCCGUCAGCUGCCUUCCUGACCUUUGUUGUGUUAUUUUUGUUUUGUUUUUUUGUUUUGUUUUAUU
rnacentral:lncRNA from 1 species